UACGUAGGGUGCAAGCGUUAAUCGGAAUUACUGGGCGUAAAGAGUGCGUAGGCGGCUAUGUAAGACAGAUGUGAAAUCCCUGGGCUUAACCUAGGAACUGCAUUUGUGACUGCAUGGCUAGAGUGUGGUAGAGGGAGAUGGAAUUCCGCGUGUAGCAGUGAAAUGCGUAGAUAUGCGGAGGAAGCACCAAUGGCGAAGGCAAUCUCCUGGACCUGCACUGACGCUCAUGCACGAAAGCGUGGGGAGCAAACAGG
rnacentral:rRNA from 1 species